rnacentral:rRNA from 1 species
UCUGGUAUCAAGCUGGCUAGAUCUUUUAUUAUACAUGGGAUUGAAAGAGAAGAGAGAGUAAGAUGCGCUCAUUGGUCGCUAAGGAUUUAAAAGACUUAGGGAUGGGGCACACAGAUGCUAUAAUAAAUAUUGAGCAAAAGACAGAUGAACCGAUCCUCGUACUCCAGUAAUUAAAUUUGAUUAAACAUAGAAAUAUGGGUUAAAAAAUAGGUCACAGAGGGGAAUAAUUAAGUGCCAGCAUUCGCGGUUAGUCUUUUUUCCUCUGGUUAGUUAUCUUGUAAAGAAGUGGGGCUAAAAAGAUAAAGAUAAAUGAAGAAGGGUGGUGGUAAAAUAUGAUCUCUUCCAACUAAGUUUUAGUUAUUUAAAAGCUUAAGCUUUGAAGACUGUUAUGUUAAACAAGGAUUAGAUACCCUUUUAUUAAAGUUGUCAAAUAAAUAUUAUACGGGGACUACGAGCCAUAAUUGCUUAAAACUCGAAGAGGUUGGCGGUAUUUUAUAACCAUUAAGGGGAACUUGGCGGUUAAACCGAUGAUCCUCGUAAUACUUUACCUUUAAUUUUCUUUGUAUACCGCUGUUGACAGGUAAAUUUGAAGAAAAUAGAUUUAGGCUUAGAACAUUAAUUGUUAAAUUUAUAACAAAAAUGUCAUAAUUCAAGUAGACGUGUAGGUUAUUUAAAGGGCUUAGCUGAGUUACAAUUGUUUAACAAAACGGAGUCAAAAUGAGAAGUCAUAUGAUGAAGGCGUACUUAUUAGUAAAUUUUAAAGAGAGAGCAAAGUUGAAUUGAGUAAUUAAAAUGCGUACAAAUCGCCCGGCGCCCUCGUAUAGUCUAAAUUGAGGUAAGUCGUAACAUAGUAAUGCUAUUAG